UAGGGAGAAACAUGGGCCAUGCAUCCCAUGUGGAGCACUCCCUUUUAUGUGAAGUUGCUCAAAGCAACACGGUUGCAAAUUUCCUUUUUAAGUCGGUAGGAACAGUCCCGGGCUCGUGGCCGAUACACACACCCUCAGCAGCCGGCGGUGGAUUCCUCAACACAGAUCGGCAGCCGGCCGGUGGAUUUCGCAACACAAAUCGGCAGCCGAUGGAAUUCUAUUCAGUGUAUGACGUGCCGAUCGACCAGCUGCUCGGAGUACCACCUGACGAGAGCGAUCUCCACGAAUGUUGGGAAGGUUUUGGGUCCAAUGGAGGCCAACUUGUAGCUCCCUAUUGUCUUUCUACCCACGACGAGACGCCAGACACCACGCCGCCGGAGACGGAGAGCGCCGCUCAUACAGCGGAUGGACCAGAGAGCGGCUGGAGGCGCAAGAGAGGCCCUCGCAAGAGAAGGGUGCCGUUGUGCACAGACCAAUCUUGGCAUCUGGGUAACCAUUUUGGGCCAAAGAAUUCUACGUCGUUGGUUGUUUUGACAGGAAACAUCACAUAGAACCAACAAUAGCCACUGGACACCUGAAGAGGUAGCUAUGCUGGUGGAUGGCGUCGAAGAUUGCGGGGUGGCACGGUGGUCUGUGAUGAAGAAGAAAUGGUUUCCAACGUCGGUCCGAACCGCGGGCAAUCUCAAGGAUAAGUGGAGAAAUCUCCUGGAAUCAUACACGGGAAAUGCCGAAAGAAGCUGCUAUCUGCAUCUUGACAAGAAGUUGAUCGAACGGAUCCAAAAGGCAGCAUUCAACAACCCGUAUCCAAAACCAAGGUGCACCGACGAAUGGUGAGGAGCCAUUGUUUAGGACUUUUUACAUUGUGAUGAAGUGCCUUGUAAAGCACUCUCUUACUAAUGAAGGCAAGAUGUUUUAGCAGCUGCCUAGGUCUCCUGCUUCAGUUUAGUACUCCAGUGUUAAGCUAACAAUAUUUGUAGGCAAGAUGUUUUAGUAGUGCCUAAAUACACACUAUGUGUGCCUACCUUCCUGAUUGUGUGAUUGUGUGAUUGUGUGUAACUAUGCUCUCUGAUUGUGUGAUAACUUUACAGAUGGUUCAGCAAGAGUAUGGCUUGAGUUGGUGAAAA